rnacentral:misc_RNA from 1 species
GAUGAAGAACGUAGUAAAAUGCGAUAAGUAAUGUGAAUUGCAGAAUUCAGUGAAUCAUCGAAUCUUUGAACGCACAUUGCGCCCGCCAGUAUUCUGGCGGGCAUGCCUGUUCGAGCGUCAUUUCAACCCUCAAGCACAGCUUGGUGUUGGGACUCGCGUUAAUUCGCGUUCCUCAAAUUGAUUGGCGGUCACGUCGAGCUUCAUAGCGUAGUAGUAAAACCCUCGUUACUGGUAAUCGUCGCGGCCACGCCGUUAAACCCCAACUUCUGAAUGUUGACCUCGGAUCAGGUAGGAAUACCCGCUGAACUUAAGCAUAUCAAUAAGCGGAGGA